rnacentral:lncRNA from 1 species
AGUGAUCAACCUGAUGAAUUGGGGGGUACAUAGAGUUGGUGCAGACGGGGCACUCGAGCAGCUCGUGGACGCUGGUGGAGGGGACGAUCCCGGCGGGAGGCGCAGCGCCUCCGUGGGACUUCGAGGAGUGGUGGGGAAGGGAGGUCGCCUCCUCAUCUAUCCCGUCGAUCGACGACACGCAUUCGAUGCUAUCCGACUCCAUGCAUCCGGCGGCGAGGUAUUCCGGUCCUCGCACCUCACCUGUCCGCUCUUCGUUCUUGAGCUGGAAAGGGGGAAAACCAAAAGAAAAGGAGCGGCGUGCAAGGAAUAAAGGGGCGACGGAGAACGAGACAGAGAGCAACCGGAGCGAGAGGGGAAGAGAGAGAGAAGGUGGACGAGGUGCCUUUCUUGGUCUUUGGUCCGGAUUACCAGGCGUGACGAGAUCACCGUCGUUCGCUAGAGCAAUCAAUACCUUUCGGAACCUUCUGCGAGCCGCCCGAUCGAUUACCUGCCUUGUGACUGCACAAACCACAUGGGACCCGCAUGACCCGUCACAAUCACUCGAAUAAGCCAGUAGAAAUUACGAACACUGUCCCGCCAGUUAUCCUUGGUCCGGAUACCUCCGGUGACGGGAUCACCGGUUUAACUAGAAAACAACCUUAACAACCCGUUUGUGCGUCACGCUAGCCAACUACCUCCCUUGUAAUUGGAAAUAUCCAUAGGGACCCACGUAGUUCCCAUCCACGCCAUCAAUUAUUCUCGUUAAAGAAUAACAGAUAGUUGGAUAAGGUGGGAGAGACAGCGAAACCUUUUCCUUUCUCUCGUGUUUUGGGCAUGUAUACGAAUGAGUAUAUAAUUAGAGGAUACAUUAUAUGAUAGACUUUGACCCAUAUUUUGUCGUUGCAAACACGAAAGUAAACGUCAACAAAAAUGACAUAAGAAGAUAAAAAUAUAUAGACGUUUCCAAUAAUAGAAUUGACAGUCAAGUCAACUUUAAACGUCAACAAAAAUGACAUAAGACAAAAAUAUAUAUCCGUUUUCAAUUAUAGAAAUGACAGUCAAGUCAACUAUAGAAAGGACGGUCGGUUUACAAAGUACCUCUUAAUGAAAACCACGCUAAAUAUUGAAUGCUCUGAAACAAGAAUCCAAAAGAACCAAGUAUAUAGCACUGUAUGAUUCAAUUAGUAGAAACCCCAUGUCUUGAAUGACAAACAUGAACUUGAUUCACUGAAACAGCUUGGAGAUACGGUUUGCCAUCUAGUUUAUACAAACUGAUCAUCUCGCACAGGGAUAAAGAAGUGCAAGAGUACUCGAGAACUCAGAAGGAAAACAAAACAGCAAGCUAUUCAGGGACUAACAUUUGUGUCACCGACUACUAGCUUAAGGAAUCCAUGGGCAAAAAUCAAAACUGACAUUGAAGAACUCAUUAUCCAACAGCCAACAGGGGUCUCAGACAUAGUAGCCAGUGAAAGUGAAUCCUCUUCCAACUAUCUCACCAACACAGAACCAUGCAUACAACUCGAGCCCAAAUAAUGCUGCAAUGCCAGCAUCCUCAAUUUUGAGAUCCUCUCUGUUUCUCCAUAUGUGCUUCACACCAUCAAGCUCCUUCCAAAAUGAUUCAUAACGACCAGGGAUGCUGUAAUUGAAAGAUGUCAGUACUGGCACAUAUUUGACACUUUGUCCAUCUCGUAGGAUAACAUCUAAAAAGAUGGUUUACAUGACAUGCAUUGUUGAAAAAGGACUGUCUCAAACAAAACAAGCAUAAUCAACUUUGAUUUUAUAGCUUUGAAUGACAGCAGAGCAACCGACCAUGAUCGCAACCUCUCCCGUGGAACACACCAUCCCACGAAUUAAGGGGGAAGCACUUGUCUUUGGGCAUGCUAAUUUGGACUUUGGAGAAGGCAGCCUAACUGGAAGGUAACAGUAUACACAUAUUGCUUAUUAGUGGCAGGCUUCUUGUUGUUCUUGAAUAUGAAUUUGCCAAGAAUCUGAAGUCAAUUAAAAAUUUUUGUGUUUGGUUCAUGGUUACAGUAACCAGGUGUAGUUAUCCUAUCACGGCUAGCUUAUUUUAAUUUUUCAUUUUUCUUCGAUUGCUUACCAAUCAAACCAAGUUAUCUGGAGUAAGGAUUAAUUCUAAAUAACCCUAUCAAAUGGGCUUUCUUUAACCUGGUUGGUUGAAUAAAAGUCAUUUUGACCAGAUUAUUUUGACCUUCCCCAACUCUUUAAACCACAUUUCAUUAGUGGCUAAAACUUACAAGUUAAAUCAUCCUAACCCUGCUAUCUAACUUUAACCCUAUUUUUUGCCUGGUUGCUAAACGAAAACCAUCUGGGUCAACAAAGAGUGUGUUUGGCAGGUUAAACCAAUAACCACAACUUAAAAGACUUAAUUCAUCCCAAGUUAUCUGGGCUGACAGGAUUAAAUUUGGCCUUCCUUAACCCUAUUGUUGUGGCGGGUUAAACCACUAAUCACCAGUUAACCCUUUUAACUCUAAACCACAAGCAAGCAAUUUCCUCACAAAAGAUGUCACUUGGGAUAAUUUUCAUAACUCACAACAUAAACCUAAGCAAGGAUAAUACAUUUAGCUUACUAGUUUUAUAGUACCUAAAAUUAGUAGAGUAAUAUACAGCUUAUACAAGGUAAGCAAGAUUCUUAACAAACAUCAGGCACAACAAGCUGCAUCAGGGGAACAAGGUAACUCCUUGGAUAUCUCAUCAAGGAAAUAAGUCACCGAGCUGAAUUAUGAAUUCCACCACUAAAUUCAGAGAAAGAUCCUACCACAUGCUAUGUUCAGAGAAACAGAAACUUACUGUUGACAAGGCAAGUGACUACGGCAGAAAAACCAAGCCAACGCUGUUAGUCUUUGGGUAUUCAGUGUUUUUAUGCUUGAAAUAGAUUUAAACUAUACAUAACUAUCGUACAUUCUUACACUUCAGCUCCUGGAAUAACCUACAUCCAUCUUGUUUAAGAAUAGUUACGGCCAACACCAACCUUACAGUACAUUUAUCCGAAAAUAAGAUAGAAAUUAUCCCCAAACUUGUCAUUUUGUUUAGGAUGACUUAAAAACGCAGCAAAAACAACAUAGCGUGGAUGUUAAGCCAAACCUUGCAAGCCGUGUGUAAAAGAGCUGUUUUGAGAGCUCUUGGCACUUCUCGACGGUUGGUGGUUGAACAAUAUGCUGCUUGUUCUUCUCCAAAAGCUCCUUAUAGUAUGCGCAUCCGUGCUUAGCCACAAACUCCGAGGCUUGGACAGCCUUAGAUCGAAGCUGAUGCAGUUUCGAUGCCAUCCACCAAAACAAGUCCACGCCACAAAAUAAAAAUCUGUUUUCUUCAGCCAGUCAUUUCAAGAACGAUACGAAUGACGUAAAUUAAUCAUGGUAAAAUUAGUCAUGGCAUGUCAUAAAGAUCUAAAGACCCAGAGGCACAUUAACCGUGUCAGCUCAAAUAUACAUUUUCAGAUCGAUACCGAAAGAAUCCAGAAAAAAAGAAAGAAAACAAGAGUAAAAUCCAAUGGAAUCGAUCGAGACCCCUACAAUUAGAAUGAAAAUUGGAAGGACAAUUGAGAAACAUAUCAGGGAAGAAGAAUCCCUGGGUCCGACUACACAAUCAGGUACAAAGAUAUCAGGAAAACAGUCCCAGUUAGAGAUCGAAAGCUUUUCCAUCAACAAAUGAAGCACAAAGAUGGGACUCACCUCUCGAUCGACCGGCGAAGAGAUCAGACACUGGAGUGGCGACAAAGUACGAGGACUAGGGUGGAAGCAUGGAAUGGGCGUCCGCUAUUAAUAUUGGCUCCGAUGUGAGUAAUUUCGUAAAUUAAUGCACAUAUUAGGGCUUUCUGUGACACAUUAGUAUCCUUCUGUACGAAUCCCCAAAGGCCUUUCCCUAUGUUCUUCUCCGCCCGUGACCUAAUUCAAACGGAACUUCCUCCCCUGCGGGACCCGCAAGCUUGUUUGGUGUAAGCUCGGCGAGUAAAACGCGCGAGUGGCAAAAAGAAACCUUCAUUUCGCAGCCUCGAGUGUUGGUAUGGGCACCGCCCGAGCGCACGUUAGCAACCUGUACUUGUUUCUGGCAACCCAACGGCGCACGUUAGAAGCUAGCGCGGGCGGGUUCUAAAAACCUUUCGGAGCCGUGACAAAAACCCUAAUCCGAACUCCAAAAAUUCCCCCCCAAAAGGAUCGACAAAAUUAGGGCUAGGGUUUGCAUCAUCCUUAAUUCCUGAAAUCUGUGUGCCCUAUGGAUUCGAUCAUCGUUGAAUCGCGAACAGCAGCUGAGUCGUCUCUCCACUUCGGUCCUCUCGCCGGCUCCGGCUUCUACUCCAUGCUUAAAGAAUCCGUCGACAGGUUCCUGGUUGAAGUCCAGAGGGAGACCUGCGACUUCGCUGCCUUCCGUUCGAUCUUCUUCCGUCUGCUUCAGUCCAGCGUCGAUCCCCCUCUGGAGGUCAUCUGGUUCUACUCCGCCCUUGGCUACCACGAAGCGAUCAGGCUAAAAAAAGACGCCCUCGAUCGAGUAUCCGCUGUGAGAGACCUUCUCCAGCUGCUCUCGGCUUGCUCUGCUUCGUGUGAUGGCCCAAAGUCCGUGGCUUUGCUCGCUCCCGUUGUUUCAGAGCUGUAUCAUUGUGUAAAAGAGGAAAAGAAGAUGUCUGGAAAGGUGGCGAAGAAGUUGAGGAAGGAGAUAGGGGGUUUGGUGGAGGCUCUUGUCAGCUAUAUUAGCAUUUGUAGCGGACAGAGUUCUGACGGGAAAGAGCUUUCUUAUGGCUACUUGCAGCCUUGUUUUGUUGAUGUUAUACGAGUGUGGACGGUGCAGCAUUUUGGGAGAGGAGAUGGUUUGAGUGUUCUUUUUCCUUUGGUUACUGAUGAAAUUCGUGUCUGCUUCGAGCAAGAAAGGUGUGGGAUUGAUUAUUUGGCUGGUGUUGUGGUUGUGGAGACUUUAUUGCUUAGUUUGAGCUUGAAGGUUCAAGUGGAUGGGUCACCAAGGCUGGACUUACAGAAGGAGCUUACACUCUGGGCCAUCAGUUCGAUAUCUGUGUUUCAGAAUUGUGUUUCAUUUGGUAGGUCUUUCUUACCUAUGACUGAAUUCACAGACCUGUACAAAUUGUAUUCCCUUAGAUUUUUUAGCAGAAUUAUCAAUGCCAUUAGCAAUUUGGAUAGUUGCAUAUUCUAUCAAGAUAUGCUAACUGUGCAUUUUAAUUUCGAAUUAUUUGUUAAUGCAGUUCUUAUUUAUCACUGAUUGGAUUUUUCUGCUUCUGUUGAUGGUACAAGUAAAUUGCUAUAAGAUGUAGGUGUUUGGCACAUGAUCCUUGGCUAAUAUAUGCAUAUGCAUGUGUGUGUAUAAACAGCUGUGCAUUCUCUUGGCCAUUAUAUAGAGAACUCGUGACUUUUCUCUAAUGAGUAGCUUUGCCAAUUUUUUGCUAUAUCAGCUAGCUCUAUAGAGAUUGCCUAUCUUUAUUGUGCAAUUUGGUUCUGACAUCUGAGUGUUGAUAAACAGACUUAUUACUGAGGCUGCUGUUGAACCUACCAAUGCCAGUUAUGACCAUUUUGGUGAGUAUAUUAAUCAGAGACUUGUACAUUGAGUUGCAAUGAUAUAAUCAGCAUUAGUUCAUUCACUCAAGCAGCUGCUUACCAACAUAAAUGCAUCUGAUAGUUCUAUUCUGCUUCAUGAAUGUGCUAAGGAUUGUGGACAACUUCAGGUAUUAUUUGAAAGAAUCAUUAGUGAUUGAUUCAUGUGCAUAUAGAUCAGCCACAUGAGACAGAUUGAUCAAGUGAACCUAUUUUGUAAAGUCACAAACUUUUCUCCUAACCUCACCAUGAGGCCAAUGCUCACCUUCUGGAUUCUGUGAGAUAAUUGGUGAGCUGGUUAUAAAUGAUUAUGUUAGUGGUGCAAAAGUAUCUGAUUGUAGAAUUCUAUGGAUGUGCUUUAGAAAUAAUUAAGAGGGCUGGGUCCUUGGUCACACUCUUUGUUAUGUAAAAAUUCUAGAAAUAUGUUCUAUAUCUACUUUUGAAGUUGCUGCAGCUCCUAUAUCAUCAUGUGAGCAAUAGAAUUUUCCCUUGCUUGUACAUUUUUUUUUCCCUUGAAUAUAGCAGCAGUACAUAUUCUUUAUCAUGCAUGGGUUCUGAUUUGUAUUUUUUUUCUUUAGUAGGUUCAAAUUUUCUUUUCAUAUGCUUAUUUCUAAAUGUAGACAAUAUCCUGAUAUUAGUGUUUUUUGGCUCAGAGCUCUACUGAGGAAAGCUGGCUAAGAAAUAUCCUUUACGAUGCUGUUAUUUUAGCGGAUUAUUCUUUCUUAAAUCCGGGAGUUGAAGUAGAACAUUUUAGUGAUUCUAUGAUGAAUCUUGUUGUGAGAAGAUUGAUUGUUACUCAUGAAGCCAUCCGAAUUGUCAGGUGAGGGCAUUACUUUAAUGAGAUGGAAGGAUAUGAGAGUAGCACAGUGCUAAAAUUCAUUAUGAUAACAGGGAUAAAGGAGAUAACCGCCAAGCCAUAGCCUAUACAAAUGCAUUUUCAGCAUCGUGUGUUCCCAGUAGCUUAAUUAAGUGGGCUACUUAUCAGGUUGGCUUGGGGAAACUUAAUAGACCAAAUGCUACUACACCUCAAGCUCUUCUAAGUACGUACCUAGAAUAUGCAUAUUCUUACUUGAGACUGACAGUAAUGAAUGGUCUUUUAUUCCUUAUGAAAUCAUUUGUUCAUCAUGCAGCUAUCUCUUACUUGCAGAGUGGCUUGUGGUUCUUGAAGAACAGGGAUUGAAACUUUUUGAUGAUAACAUUUCAGAACUUCAUAGCAAGUUGACUAUCAAGGAAUAUGAUGGCAUGCCUGAAACUGCAAAGUUUGAUUCAGGCAGCAACAGCACAGAUGGAGAUAUUUUCUUUUUUGAUAACACAGGGAACGUUGAUGAGAAUGCUGCAGAUGAUGAUCAAGACAUGGAAAUAACGGAUUCUGCAUUUCAAUCUGCUGCUCGGUCUAUGAAAUCUGAGGCAAGCAAAGGGAGGAGGAAAAGGAAAGAAUGGGGUUAUGAAGGAGAUGAAUCACAAGUGAAGUUUGUCAAAUAUAAGAUCCAUGACAACUCAGUCAAAGAGCAUUUGAGCACUCGGGCAGUAGAUCGUAUGAGCAGUGAUAGUGAGACGGAGAAUCCACCUUCUCCAGAUGAGAUGGAAGAAUGAGAUGGACAGAGCUGAGAUUUGAGCAACAGCGUUGGUUCCAUCCUUUUGUUAGAUGUGUCAUUUCGCUGAAACAUGUAAAGAGGGCUGAGAGCAUUGCUUAUAGCCUUAUGCUUAGUGUACUUGUUGAGUAGGGGCACAGCCUUCUUUAAGGCGAUACUUUUCAUAGUUAUUGAGAGCAAGCUGAGCUUGUAGGAGACAAUGCAGCCUGUUUUGUAUAUGGCUUAUGUUUCGGAUGAUUUCUCAUCUCACUUUCGAAAAGACUUGAAUGGGAAUCAUCAGCAGUCAUGUUUCCAUUUUUUGACGUGUCUUACAUAUGCGAUCUCUCUGUGCUAGUAAGGGUACUGUAUCGAUAGAUUUCAUGGGUGGGUAGCCCUAUCUCAUCGAUCAGGAGAGGAAAACGUGGCAUGUUGACAUUGGUGGAGCCAAUUAACUGGCAUCCUACUUUAGAUUUUUGAUGAAGUGGCAAAUAAAAUCCAGGAAGCAGAUAUCUAAAGGUUCUGAGACUGACAACUCAGCAUCCAACUCAAGCGAAUGCAAACCAUCAACCAAUAGGAACAGCUUACAACGAUUCACAGUGAGAUAAGGAGCAUGACACUGCUCUAUAAGUUGCAGCCGUUCCUCUCCACUCUGCCACACCAGCAGCAGGCAAGCAACCUCGGUCAUCCUCCACCCCCAGAACCUACUAGCUCCAGCAAUGGCUGCCACGAUGGCCCUCUCCUCCCCAUCCCUCGCGGGGAAGGCGGUGAAGCUCGCCCCCUCGGCCUCCGACGUCCUGGGGGAGGGAAGGGUGACCAUGCGCAAGAGCACCGCGAAGGCCAAGCCCGCGGCGGCCUCCGGCAGCCCCUGGUACGGCCCCGACCGCGUCAAGUACCUGGGCCCCUUCUCCGGCGAGCCCCCGUCCUACCUCACCGGCGAGUUCCCCGGCGACUACGGGUGGGACACCGCCGGGCUGUCGGCCGACCCAGAGACCUUCGCCAAGAACCGGGAGCUGGAGGUGAUCCACUGCAGGUGGGCCAUGCUGGGCGCCCUGGGCUGCGUCUUCCCGGAGCUUCUGGCGCGCAACGGGGUCAAGUUCGGGGAGGCGGUGUGGUUCAAGGCGGGCUCCCAAAUCUUCAGCGAGGGCGGGCUGGACUACCUGGGCAACCCCAGCUUGAUCCACGCCCAGAGCAUUCUGGCCAUCUGGGCCUGCCAGGUCAUACUGAUGGGCGCCGUCGAGGGGUACCGCAUCGCCGGCGGGCCGCUGGGAGAGGUGACGGACCCGCUGUACCCCGGCGGCAGCUUCGACCCGCUUGGCCUGGCCGACGACCCGGAGGCGUUCGCGGAGCUGAAGGUGAAGGAGAUCAAGAACGGGAGGCUGGCCAUGUUCUCCAUGUUCGGCUUCUUCGUGCAGGCCAUCGUCACCGGGAAGGGUCCCUUGGAAAACCUGGCCGACCACCUGGCGGACCCCGUGAACAACAACGCAUGGGCCUACGCCACCAACUUCGUCCCGGGCAAGUGAGCAACCAUAGUGUCGGUUUGUCACCACCACCACCAUCACCAUCACCACCAUCUCGUUAGGCUUCUCAUGAUUUGAGAUGUCUUGUAUCCCAUGUACUACUCUACUCUACUCAACAGUAUGUUCUUUCGUUGGUCUCCAUCGGUUCCACUGCUCAUUAGCUGCAAUCGCUGAGAUCGAGGGUAAAUUUGAUGUGAUUCACCGUCCGCCAGCCAUUGUCCCCCCUAUCAGCCACUCUCCGUGAAGUUGUGAAUCAGCUCACAAACAGAACC